rnacentral:rRNA from 1 species
CGCAAUGGGCGAAAGUCUGACGGAGCGACGCCGCGUGAUUGAUGAAGCUUUUCGGAGUGUAAAGAUCUUUUAUGAGGGAAGAAGUUUAUUGACGGUACCUCAUGAAUAAGGGGCUCCUAAUCUCGUGCCAGCAGGAGCGGUAAUACGAGAGCCCCGAGCGUUAUCCGGAAUUAUUGGGCGUAAAGGGUGCGUAGGUGGUAGUGUUAGUCGUUUGUCAAACCCUUGGGCUUAACCCAAGAUCCGCGAACGAAACGGCACAACUAGAGAGUGUGGGGGGUAUAGGGAACUCAUGGUGUAGGGGUGAAAUCCGUUGAUAUCAUGGGGAACACCAAAAGCGAAGGCACUAUACUAACACAUGUCUGACACUCAAGCACGAAAGCGU